AUCGGUCAAAAAUUAAUGCAAUAAAGACGGUUGGCUUUACAAAAAAAAUGGUGUCAAUGUUGUCUGAGCUCACUUUCAGUCUAUUUGGGCAUGCGUAUUUGCAAUUUUGCACGUUUGCACAAGACAAUAAAAAGGUACUUCCCGGAAAUGCAAAAAAACCAAAACAAAAAACCACGUGUUUAUUGUUGUCGUUUGAAUUUCAACUUUUAUUGGUUGGGUGUUUGAAUUUCUUUACUCUCAUUGGUUCUGGGCAUUUUGGGAGUCUCUGUUCUCGCGAGGAUCACCAUUUUGCAUUUCUUCCAACACAACUUAUGAUCGAUGGCGGCGAGAAGUAUUUCACCGCAGGACACGAUUCGAAUGGUGUUAGAAAAUCCUGAUUCCGACGACGACGACCUUUGUUCGGACGCUUCUUUGGAGAGCCCAGAAGACAUUGAACAAAUUCUUCCGGACUUUCGAUGCCGGAGGAGGACGGCUUUGAUGACGAGGAUUAGGAAAUAGUUGACAACAUAACGAGAUGAAAGCGGGGAGCAGAAGGCGGGGGCACGGACAUGACCACGUUGAGGCGCAUGACGAAAAUGACGGCGAUCGAGGCCUGAGGCACAUACUCCUGCCGCCGGCGCGCACUCAGGUGGCCAAUGUGUGUUUUUUCACAUGCCGGACAUUUCGUCAUGCAGCGCGUUUGUGCUGUUCACGGAGAUCUACCCUCGUUUGUGCUGUUCACGGAGAUCUACCCUGAGUGGAACGUGAAGAAAAGCUACAAGCGCCGACUAUUUCUUGAGGAACUUGGCAAGGCUCUAAUUCGGCCAGAAGUCCUAAAACGGGAACCACCGCCUUCUGCCGAAGGCUUGGUUGAGCAGCGAGCUGGACCCCCGUCCAAGCGCAAACAAUGUGGCCUUUGCACAAAGCCACUUCGGGCUUCGAACAUAAUAAUAAAUAAUAAUACAUUUUAUUUAUAACGCACUUUACAUUUGAACAACAAAUCUCAAAGUGCACAUCAUGAAUUGUGUAUGUUGUUAUUAUGUUAACUGUUAUAUUGUAUGUAUGUUUUGUAAAAUUGUUAACAUAAAUUCUAUCAUCAAAUCA